AAUAUUUGACUUAAAUAUUGUAAUGAAUUAAUUUUUAUCGGGCACCAUAGAUGGCGUUACUAGGCACGUUUCAAUAAUAGAUUAACUCGCAUUUGUAUUUGAACGAACUGACAGCAAAAAAUAAAAAUAAAUGUGGGGUAGAAGAAGUUUCGCUGGUGGAAAGAAAGGAAGGAUUGACGUGACACGGAGGAGUUGAGUAGUGUCCGUUAUUAUUAAGUUUUUUUUAAGUGAGAUUGCGAGAGAGUGUCGCGAAGUAAUAAUCACGUGUGAGAUAUUGAGACAUAGUACGGAGUGUGUGUAAAUACUGUUUCGGCCACGGGUCUGCGGAAACGCCCUUGAUAAAUCGACGAUACCGAAAUCGUGCUUACGGACGUCUGCGCCAGUCGUGGGCUUCCGGUGAGGAGUCAAGGGACUGGAAGGUCGCAGAACUACCUCAAGCCAGUUCCCAAAUUUCCUGACCUCGUGCGGCAUCGUCGCCAGAGACUAGUGGGCCAAGUAAUUGCGAGCAAGUAGCGGCGGACUGAGAUUUGAGCCAGUCCCUGACAUUACACGGCGAGCUGGACUUAGGCCUUUCAUUGUGGGGUCAUUGUUUUGUCAUGAGUGCUCAUGUCAGUUUUUUGUCGCAUGACUAGAUUAAGUGAUUCCACUUGUUAAUAGAUUAAGUUACCUUGAUUAAAAUAUGUUUAGCAAA